GUCUAUGGCCACACCAUCCUGAACAUGCCCAAUCUUGUCUGAUCUUGGAAGCUAAGCAGGGUCGGGCCUGGUUAGUACUUGGAUAGGAGACAAUAAAACAUAGCUAAGUCAUGAGACU
rnacentral:rRNA from 1 species